UCCAUGGAAAUAUAUGCUGAC
ensembl:piRNA 21ur-3167 ncRNA